GCUGGUAGCCCAGGUAGCAACAUUGCCUAGCUGUGAGGUUUCUUGGAACAUUCUGGAGAUCCUUUUGCAGAAUCCUCCAAAAUUUGAGCUUACUUUUGGGUCCAAAGGAACUAAUCUGGGGGGAACUGACAGCAUUACCUCCCCACCAGCAGCAUCUGUCUCCUGCUCUGAGAUAUCGAGAAUGAGGCACAGAGAGGAGUAGUGACUUACGCAAGGUCACCCAUCACGCAGAAUGUGUAUCUGGAUCAGACGACCUCCAUUCAGUCACAAGCCUGCAAUAAGAUCAGUCAGCACGAAAUGGCUACACUUAAUCACAAGAAAUGCUGGUUAAAAAACUUUCAACUGUUUUUCGUCCGAAAAAAGCUGUUUC